GGACAGGGAGGAGAUAUCCGGCAGGGGCAAAGUCAAGCGAAAUGCACAUUUGAUUGAACAAAUCCAAACAGCUGAUAUCCCCCCCCCAUUACCACCCUCCCUCCACCCAGGUCCAUCCAAAAAGCCUUAUAUGACAUGGACUGCCACCAAACCAAUGCCUGCUAAAGGGUUUAAUCCUCAAUAACAAUGGGAUAGGUGGGUGGCUCGAUAAAGGUAACAUGUUUGCAGAAUGAAUAUCCUAUAUGUGCGAGAAACAAGGGCCACUCACAUGAGCUUGUGAUCACAUGAGCCAUUAUUCUCUGAAUGAGACCACGUGCUAGGCAGCCCUUUCGCUGACGUCAUUCUGUUUACAUAUAACACAAGAGACGUAACGAGCUCUCCGACUAACAAACAGUCCUUAUCUACUCGUAUCGAGCUUUUAUAACACCAAGGGACUUCUAUAAUGUUUUUACAUACAGUUUGAAGGACACUUAAAGGCCACUGCUCAAGCUAAUUCAAUUUGCACCCUGGAGCCAAACUAUUGCGUAACGAGGUAAGCAUUACGGCCAAGAACCCAGAAAAAAAAAAGUUUGGCAUUGGAGGAAAUUUCAAGAAUUUACUUGGACAUGACACAGUCGAGCUUUGUGAGACCACGAGUCUCUCAGGCCUAAAUAAAGCUUUGGUGCCAUAACUAGUCCUCGGUACUGCGCAACCUGUUGAUUUACCCGCCUUUUCCACACCUUGUUUCUUUCAAUAAGAAAUGUCCACAAUAGGAUCUGUACACAAGGGCUACUUAUCAGCUGAUUUCAUGCACACGUCUUCAAAACACAACUGGAUUGGACGCCUAGGAACGCAACAACUUACACUACUGAUGCGAUCCGCUGUAGGUUGUUAAGCCACGUUUUAUGCGUAAAAAUGCAUUGCUUUUUACAUAGCAUGCAUGCAUAAUUGUUGCCACCCUAUCUUACUAAUGGGGUUAAAUGGACAACAAGGCAAAUGCUUUAGUGCGCAACUGACGUUUAAAACGGUCCAGCGAGCACCUCGUCCAUGACAAACACCGAUGUUUCUGACGGUCUACACCCGUCUCGGAUGACUUUUAAGGGGGUGACAUUGCAAGAAUCUCCCUCCCUGACUCCGGAGCAACCCCUCCCACCAACAGCGUGCUCUGCACCCUUCACCUGAAAGCUCUGCAGGCUUUACUAGCAGUAAACCAGGUUCGGAAAAAUGAAGUUCACUGUGGACCGAAGGAGAUCGAGGGCAUCGAGUCCGUGAGACGGAUGUUGGAGCUUGUACUUGUUCUGAUUGUAAGCUGGUAAUUUUCCACGAGCCACGAAGGGGAGUGGUUGUUCAGAGUCAGGGUAUGAUACGCAUGGCAUGGGUCAGAGCCUGAUACAAUUGGCUUGUGAUAGUCUUCAUAAACUUAACUACCGCGAAGUUAACUCCAGUGUGACAGUGAUGUAUUAUAAACCCGUCGAAUAACUCGAAAACAUUAAUAAACUGUCCGUGUGGCACUCCAUAGAGACGUCAAAAGCUUGCAUGCCCCCUCCCCCAUUGCAAAUCACGUGACGCAACGCCACUUAAACGUCAGUUGAUGGAAAAAUACUGGAUUUUGUGAGUGCAAACUGCUAGUGUCUGUACUGAACAAAGAAUGAGAAAAAGAAUACAUUGUCCUGCAGUCAAGAAGUCAUUAAUGCUCAUGCAUUUUUUUUUUAAAAUAAAACUUGCAUAUCACAAGGUCAUGGUGUGCAUUUUAUACAUGUUGAGUAUCUGAUACAGUAUUUCCCUUUAGAUCAGCAUGUGGCCCAUCAUGCACACCUUUUUAAAAUGUUUAACUAAAUAAGCAGUGUUAUAGCAGUUUAGGACUAGUAAUUUGGUAAAUGAUAUGCUCAGACUUAACCAACAAACUGAUCUCACUUCCAGUGACUGUGAACCUUUAAUCCAAAUGCAGCAGGUUUAUUCUCGAACCGACAUAGCACUGUGUUUUUCGGCAUUUAGUGGGUCCAGUCAUAAUUUGAUAAUCAGCUGUUGUUGUAUGAAUCAGAUCCAUAUUUACUAAUUUUUAUCCUUUUAUUAUGUGUAGGUCCCACGCUGCUGUAAUCUUUGGAGAUAAGUGAGAUGUGGUGUAAAUGAAUUGUAGUUGUCAUGUUUACCUGCCUGAGAGUAAAGUCAGUGCCACAACACAGGCCAUCCUGCUUUCCAGGAAUCACAGGUGAAAUUCUUUGAACCCCAAGAAGGUUGAUGUUCCAGGUUUUUUUUUUUUUUUUUAAUAAAUGAACAAAGAGUGGGUGCAUCUUAAACUCUUUUAGAUAAUCCUUCAGAAAUUGUCACCUGACUAGUAUGAGCUGAAUAAUGUUGUCCAUUUGUAUGUCAUUUCUUUUGUUUUGUUAAAAUGUUUUUGCACAGAUCAUAAUUUCAGAGACAUAUUUGUGCGAAUUGAAAUCCCCAAAUUAAGCAUGGUAACUGCUUUAAAACAGCAAUCAGCAAAUGUUCUCUUAUUUUAGAACUGAUGUUCCUCAGGCUAUGACUUCACUCUGUGUAACAGAAAACUUGCCAUGCUUCCUUUCUUUGUUGUCUCAGCUGUUUUGAAUUAUUUUGAGAAAUACAAUAAACCAUUGAAAUUUCUCCG